GAAGAAGAAGAAUUUAAAAAAUACAAAAUGUCAAAUUUAGUUUUUUGACAUGUAUAAAAUUCUUUGUAAUCAUCUCAGUCAAAUACUUGGAAGUACGAUAUAGAAUAGAUAUUUCGAAAUGGAUGAGCGUGUGUUUCGCUUUGUGAAGGUAGGAGCCUGCGUUAUAUUAAUUGUAACAGGAAUUAAAUUUAUAAGACGUUUAUAAAAUGAUGCUAUACACUAAAGAAACAAAAAUUUAUCAAGCUGGGAGCAUGCUUUGUAUUAAUUUCAGCCGGACUUAACUUCCUAAGAAGCAUAUAAAUUUGAGCUACACACGCAGGGAAUCAAAAAUGUAAUAUUUUAUACUUGUAGAGAAAAUAAAGCUGCAUAUAAAAAA